rnacentral:rRNA from 1 species
ACUUUCAACAACGGAUCUCUUGGCUCUCGCAUCGAUGAAGAACGCAGCGAAAUGUGAUAAGUAAUGUGAAUUGCAGAAUUCAGUGAAUCAUCGAAUUUUUGAACGCACCUUGCGCUCCUUGGUAUUCCGAGGAGCAUGCCUGUUUGAGUGUCAUGAAA